UACGUAGGGGGCAAGCGUUGUCCGGAUUUACUGGGCGUAAAGAGCGUGUAGGCGGCCACGCAGGUCCGUUGUGAAAACUCGAGGCUCAACCUCGAGAUGUCGGCGGAAACCAUCUGGCUAGAGUCCGGAAGAGGAGAGUGGAAUUCCUGGUGUAGCGGUGAAAUGCGCAGAUAUCAGGAAGAACACCUAUGGCGAAGGCGGCUCACUGGCCCGGUACUGACGCUGAGGUGCGAAAGCGUGGGGAGCAAACAGG
rnacentral:rRNA from 1 species